rnacentral:ncRNA from 1 species
UAAAGAAUUUAAUUUAAAUUUAUUUUACAUAUAAAUUUUUGUAUGAAUUUAUGAUUAUUUUAAUAAUAAUUAUUUAUUUUUGUAGUAAUUAAAAUUAAAAAUUUAAGAAAUUAAGAUUUAGUAAUAUUUAGAUUAUUAACAAAUUUUGUGCCAGCAGUUGCGGUUAUACAAAAAAUAAUUUAAAUUAUAUCAGUAUAUAAUUAAUAAUAAUAAUUAUAAUUAAUUUAAAUAUUAAAUUAUUAGGUAAAAUUUUAAUUUAAUUAAAAUUUAUUUAAAUUUUAUGAUUUAUAAAAUUUUAUAAAAAACUAGGAUUAGAUACCCUAUUAUUAAAAAUUAAAUUAUAAUACUAAAAUAGUAGAUAAUAAUUUAUUGAAACUUAAAUAAUUUGGCGGUAUUUUAGUACAUUUAGAGGAAUCUGUCUAAUAAUUGAUAAUCCACGAAUAAAUUUACUUAAUUUAUAAUUUUGUAUAUCGUUGUUAAAAAAAUAUUUUUUAAUAAUAAUAAUAUUUAAAAAUUUACAUAUAAAAUUAAUUCAGAUCAAGAUGCAGAUUAUAAUUAAGAAUAUGAUGGAUUACAAUAAAAUUAAUUAAAUGAAUAAUAUUUUGUAAUAAAUAUUUGAAGGUGGAUUUAAAUGUAAUUUUAUUUAAUUUAAUAAAAUGAUUAUAUAUUAAAAUAUGUACAUAUUGCCCGUCGCUUUCAUUAAUAAGUUGGAAUAAGUCGUAACAAAGUAGAGGUACUGGAAAGUGUUUCUAGAAAGAU